CCACUCCACUCACUUCAUAAUUCAUUUCUCCUCCUCCUCCUCCUCCUCCUCCUGCUUUCUCCCUCUCUUAGCUUCCUUCUCCCACCAUGACUUCAAAAGACUGCGGCAACCAUAGGCACAAGCAUCAUAAGCUGAGGCGAUGCUUCGCCGGAUUGCUUAUCUUCUUCUUCAUCGUCCUCCUCGUCGUACUCCUGGUGUGGGCAAUCCUCCAGCCCAAGGACCCACGCUUCGUCCUCCAAGACGCCACCAUCUACGCCCUCAACGUCUCCACCCCGAAUAUCCUCACCGUCAACAUCCAAGUCACCAUCACCACCCGCAACCCCAACGACAAGAUCGGCAUCUACUAUGAGAAACUCGACACCUACGCCACCUACCGCGGCCAGCAGAUUACCCUCGCGUACCUCAUCCCCCCCACCUACCAGGGCCACAAGGAGAUCAUCACCUGGUCACCUUUUCUCUCCGGCACGGCCGUACCCGUGGCUCCCUACAACGCCAUUGCACUGAAUCAGGACCAGUCGUAUGGCGCCCUCACCUUGAUCAUCAAGAUUGAUGGACGGGUGAAAUGGAAAGUUGGUUCCUUCACAUCAGGC
rnacentral:lncRNA from 1 species